CCAACGGCCCUCCUAAGGGCCACAUAUCUUCUUAAAACUUAGAACU
rfam:Steinernema glaseri strain NC unplaced genomic scaffold GLAS_2908, whole genome shotgun sequence.